AACGCUAGCGGCGCGCUUAACACAUGCAAGUCGAGCGAGAACCGGGGCUUCGGCCCCGGGGACAGCGGCGAACGGGUGAGUAACACGUGGGUAAUCUGCCCUCGGUUCCGGGAUAGCCCGGGGAAACUCGGAUUAAUACCGGAUAGCCUCACGAGCCUUCGGGCGCGUGAGAAAAGGUAGCUUCGGCCUCUGACCGAGGAUGAGCCCGCGGCGGAUUAGCUUGUUGGCGGGGUAACGGCCCACCAAGGCGACGUUCCGUAGCUGGUCUGAGAGGACGAUCAGGCACACGGGGACUGAGACACGGCCCAGACUCCUACGGGAGGCAGCAGUGGGGAAUCUUGCGCAAUGGGCGAAAGCCUGACGCAGCGACGCCGCGUGAGGGAAGAAGGCCCUAGGGUUGUAAACCUCUUUCAGGUGGGACGAAGCCACUCGGGUGAAUAGCCCAGAGGGUGACGGUACCUCCAGAAGAAGCCCCGGCUAACUACGUGCCAGCCGCCGCGGUAAUAC
rnacentral:rRNA from 1 species